CAUACUGUCCAGCGCUAAGAUGAGAUAUCAUUUGACCCUGUGAUUCUUCAGGACCAGAUCUUGAUGCCAUCCACACCCAGUACAUGACAAAGAUGCUGUGACAAAAAGCAGUCAAGCCACUGCAUGUGAUGUGGAAGCCUCUAUGAAGACAUGGCUCCGUAAUCCCUGGGACAGAGAUGGGGACGGCAAGGAAGGGCCAGAACUGCAGAAAUACCUACUGUUGCCCCUGAGGGGAUUGAUUUUUAAUUUUCAAUCCCCUGUUUUCUGUGGUUAUUGCUGUUUUAAAAUGUAUUAUCAUUAAUUAUAAUUAUUAUUAAAUAUAAAUAAAUUAUUUGGGGAAAAAAA